GCGAGGAUGGCGGAACUGGUAGACGCGCUAGGUUGAGGGCCUAGUGGCCUCAGGCCGUAGGGGUUCGAUUCCCCUUCCUCGCACCA
rnacentral:tRNA from 1 species